rnacentral:tRNA from 1 species
GGCCGGUUAGCUCAAUGGGUUGAGCGUGAUGCUGAUAACACCAAGGUUGAGGGUUCGAUUCCCGUUCAGUCCC